UACAGAGACUGCAAGCGUUAUUCGGAUUCACUGGGCGUAAAGGGUGCGCAGGCGGUCGGGUGUGUCAGAUGUGAAAUCCCGAGGCUCAACCUCGGAACUGCGUCUGAAACUACUCGACUAGAGUACUGGAGAGGGUAACGGAAUUCACGGUGUAGCAGUGAAAUGCGUAGAUAUCGUGAGGAACACCAGAGGCGAAGGCGGCAUCCUGGACCAAUAUUGACGCUGAGACGCGAAAGCGUGGGGAGCGAACAGG
rnacentral:rRNA from 1 species